rnacentral:rRNA from 1 species
UACAGAGGGGGCAAGCGUUGUUCGGAAUUACUGGGCGUAAAGGGCGUGUAGGCGGCCUUCUAAGUCGAACGUGAAAUCCCCGGGCUCAACCCGGGAACUGCGUCCGAUACUGGAAGGCUUGAAUCCGGGAGAGGGAUGUGGAAUUCCAGGUGUAGCGGUGAAAUGCGUAGAUAUCUGGAGGAACACCGGUGGCGAAGGCGACAUCCUGGACCGGUAUUGACGCUGAGGCGCGAAAGCCAGGGGAGCAAACGGG